GACCCGAUAGAUCAGUGGGAGUAUCGUUAGACUGAAGAUCUAAAGGUCGCGUGUUCAAUCCACGCUCGGGUCA